GCUUGCACCUUUCAAGCGAGUGGCGAACGGGUGAGUAACACGUGGAUAACCUGCCUCAAGGCUGGGGAUAACAUUUGGAAACAGAUGCUAAUACCGAAUAAAACUUAGUAUCGCAUGAUAUCAAGUUAAAAGGCGCUACGGCGUCACCUAGAGAUGGAUCCGCGGUGCAUUAGUUAGUUGGUGGGGUAAAGGCUUACCAAGACGAUGAUGCAUAGCCGAGUUGAGAGACUGAUCGGCCACAUUGGGACUGAGACACGGCCCAAACUCCUACGGGAGGCUGCAGUAGGGAAUCUUCCACAAUGGGCGCAAGCCUGAUGGAGCAACGCCGCGUGUGUGAUGAAGGCUUUCGGGUCGUAAAGCACUGUUGUAUGGGAAGAAAUGCUAAAAUAGGGAAUGAUUUUAGUUUGACGGUACCAUACCAGAAAGGGACGGCUAAAUACGUGCCAGCAGCCGCGGUAAUACGUAUGUCCCGAGCGUUAUCCGGAUUUAUUGGGCGUAAAGCGAGCGCAGACGGUUGAUUAAGUCUGAUGUGAAAGCCCGGAGCUCAACUCCGGAAUGGCAUUGGAAACUGGUUAACUUGAGUGUUGUAGAGGUAAGUGGAACUCCAUGGUAAACC
rnacentral:rRNA from 1 species